rnacentral:rRNA from 1 species
ACGAAGGGUGCUAGCGUUGUUCGGAAUCACUGGGCGUAAAGCGUGCGUAGGCGGCUUUGUAAGUCGAUUGUGAAAGCCCCAGGCUUAACUUGGGAAUGGCAAUCGAAACUGCAUCGCUAGAGUUUGGUAGAGGAUAGUAGAAUUCCUAGUGUAGGGGUGAAAUCCGUAGAUAUUAGGAGGAAUAUCGGUGGCGAAAGCGGCUAUCUGGGCCAAUACUGACGCUGAGGUACGAAAGCGUGGGGAGCAAACAGG